AUGGCGGAGGAACCGUCCGCCAAGCGUCAUCAUGCCGAGACGUCGGACAAGAGGAGCAACCUCGUCGACAUUAAAGUCCCCGGCGAGAAGCGCAACUACACCAGAACGCUCGAAGGGGUUGAGCUCCACGGCAAGGAGACGCUGGAGAUCGUCUGCACCAGUGAACCAGACAGGGCCGACAAGGUGAUCUCCAGGCUAUGGAGGAAGCUUGGCGGCAUGUUUCGUAGGAUCGUCGGCGUUGGUGUGCACUACACCAACGAAGAUGGACCUCCCCAGAUGGCGGCAGUCCUGCAGUUGUGCGUCGACGAACUCUGCUUGGUGUACCACAUCGCCGCGGCCACAAAAUGGUGA
rnacentral:rRNA from 1 species